GUGAGGAUGUGCGGGGAAAGGCACACUCACACAUUGCUGGUGGGACUGCUAAUUGGUACAGCCAAUAUGGAAAAUGAAACCUUUUCUUAAGAGUAUGUUCUGCUUGUGUAAUUACCUCUCGUUUCUCAUUUUUAUAUUUUUAUGCUCUCCCUUUCUCACUGAUGAGAUUCAAUUGUUGUUAAUCUGUUAUAUUUAUUGGCUUUUUUCAAAGUGCUAACUUUUGUAUGUGUUAACUUGUUUUCUGUUAUCCUGUUUUAUAACACAUUAAAAUCUGCUUUCAUCUCUUACAAUUCCAUUCUUUGGCUUACCUUAAGUUUAUUUUUUUGAUAUUUUGUGUUUUGUUUUAAUUUAUGUUUAUUUUUGUGUUUUAUAAUCUAUCCCAUAUGAUUCUUUAAUGUCUGUUUUUUUCAUUUGCUUCUUACAACUUUGAUUUCAUUGCUGUGAAGAAAUUUUUCCUUUUACUAUAUUCUUAAGUUUUUCUAGCUCAUGUUUUUAUGUCUUCCUUUUGUCUUAGCAUCUCUUCUCUGGGUUCUUGUAUUACUGGCUUUGGUUCACCCUUUUAAAGACAGCAGUUCCUUUACAUUGUUUUAUUUCUUUUAAUUCAUGAUCAUACUCUUCACCUGCUUUGUGACAGUGCUUUCUGGUAUUUCUUUGUCUCUUGACAAGUUGUUUUGUUUUUCCUAUUGCUGUUUAUACAUAUGACCUGUCUCAAAUUUAUUUAUUUUUUCAUAGUGAAAGUAGGGAUCCAGUUUCUUUCUACCAUUUUCUCUUCCUUCUUCUCUCUUUCUCUCUCUCUCUUUCUUCUCUUGCAAAUGUUAAUAUCACUGUAAUAGAACAAUUUGUUGAAAAGAUUUUCUUUCCCCCAUUGAACUGAUUUAGCACCAUUGUCAAAAAUAGUUGAUUGUAUAUAUGUGAGUCUCUUUCUGGGUUCUAUACUUUUCCAUUGGCUUCUUAUCUAUUAACACACUGUUGUGGUAACUCUAGAUCUUCAGUAAGUCUUAAAUAGUAGACCUCCUACUGUAUUUAUGUGGCUGUUCCUGGCUCUUUGCAUUUUAGGAUCAUCUUGCUGAUUUCCACAAAAAGUGCUACUUGGGUUUUUAACUAGGGCUAUGUUCAAUCUACAGAUUUAUCUGGGGAGAUCAACAACUAUGAAUCCUCCAAUGGCACAUCCCUUCAUUUACAUAAGUUUAUGCUUUGGGUUGGUAAGUUUUAAUGUUUUCCCCUAGAUUUUUACUGGAGCCUUAUUCUAUCAAUGCUCUUCCAGUGAUUCUAUUAUUAUUCAUUAUUGAAUGAGCCAGGGCCCCUGGACCUGCUCUUGGCAGGAACUUCCUCUAGAGGAACAGAGGUAGGGUCGGCAAACGGGUACAGAGACAGACUGCUUUCUAUAUGUAUGUUUGCUUGUUUUAUUCUUUAUAUAGCCAAUAUUUUUAGCUUGUGUUAAUUUUUAUUUGUAAUUAAGUUGUAAUCAGGUUUGUAAUUAACUUACUACCUUCGCAAGUUCAGGCACCAUUUUGGCAGAGAAUUGAGUUAGUCCCUCCCCUUCAAGAAAUGUAUUUUUGCUGUCAUUUUCUGAGAUCUGCUACUCUUUGAUGGCUCUUUAUGGCUUUGUUAUACUCUCAGCAGCAGUGGGAAAACCCUACUCCUUCUUUUUUCAAUUUUCAUAUUUUUAUUUUAGUUUCAUUCAAAAAUAGAGAUUUCAGUUAUUUUCUUUCUGCCUUUGUAUGACUCUUGGGAAGAAAAGGAAAAAAAUGCUGAGUUGCAUAACCAUGUUCAUAUAAAAGAUAAUAAUUUAAUUUUUUAAAAAAAAUCACAUUUAAAAUAAUAUAUUGAACUUUCUGUACAAACUUAUAAAGUAGAAUCUCAAUAUAACACAAUGAAAAAUUAUCUUACAAUAUUUGCAAAGCAGAAUGUGGGUGUUCUGGAGUCCCAUGCAAGAAAUGUUCAUUUCCAAAAUAUGUAAUCUUUGAGUAGAAAAGCCUAUAUUUAUGAUGAAUUAAAAUUAAGUUAAUCUGAAAAAUAAGCUAGAGAAAAAUUCCUUCAAUGUUUUAAUUUUUCUAGUUGUCUAUCAUUUCUGUUCUCUUAAGACUUAUACUACUUUAGAAUUUGGGAACUAGAAGAAAUAUUAAUUCGAUUCAGUAUGGUAGGAAAUUGGAGUUAAGUGUCCUCAUGUAAAUACAACUGCUGAGCAUCAGAACUGUAGCAUUAGAUAGCCAACUUCCAGCUCUUCAUUCUCUCGCUGGUAUACAUGAGCUCCUUUACUACAUCUCUGAUGAAUUAUCAAAGGCAUUUUGAUUUAUAAGUGAGAAAAUCAAUUGGAGCUGGAUAAGGCUGUGCACUUUUGUUUAUAAUAAAACCAGGACUAGAACCCAGGUUCUUGUAAAUACAAGGUAAAUAGUUUAAAUUACUGAAAGAUCCAAAUAUUAGGAUAAUUUAUGGGAAUCCCUAUCUCCUCCCUGAACAUUUAUCACUUUCUUUGGGGGCAUUUUUCAGAAUAGCUGCAAUUGCUUUGGUUUUGAAAUUCUUGAUUAUACAGUGCAUUAAACAUUACCCAACAAAAUAUCUCAUUCAUCACUGCAGAAAGAAUGCUUUGUAUUGGGGAAGGUCCUGUUUAGGGAGCAACUUAUGCUUUAGUGUUUCUUCUUUCUUUUUUUCUUCCCUGAUCUCCUUCCCACCUUGGGCAUUCAGAUCACACCACGACUUUAACAAAUGGAUGCUCACAAAAGGUAGUUGUGAGCCAAAACCAAAGGAGAUAAACAAGGGAAGAGAAGUUAAAUAAGGGCAGGGCAGUAACAGAGAAGGCCUGGGGGUCCCAGGAGCUGGGAGUUGAAAGAAAUAUAGAGAUCCAGAAACAAGAUCUCUUUAGAGUCCAAGUAUAGUUCAAGGCCAGGAAAAAGAUCAGGCAGGCAGUCACAAAAGCAAACUCAACACCUUACGUUAGAGAAUACAGGAAAUGGGGAUAGUACCGAGUAUCAGGGAAAACCCAGCAUGGUGCCAGUGGGUGCAGGGCCACCAUUUACCCAACUGCAUGGAACACCACUUUUAUUGCUUACUGUGAAGAACAGGUCAGGAACAUCAGGAAGCUGGCCAGUAUCUUUAACAGGCUAAAGGUGAAAGAUGGCUUGCCUCUCUUAGUGACUUCUAGUAUCAAUCAUCCUCUGGGCUGAAGUGCUAAAACUCAUACUGUCUUCCCUGGACCUAUCUACGUUUGUGGGAAUCCAAGCAGUAAGUGGAAGGACUUAAGCUUCAAAUGGGAGAGGUUUUUCAGAAAGAGUUAUUGGGGACUUCCUGAGCUCCCUGACCCCCUUCAGUGGUCAGUGCUCUGCUUAGGAGCCCAGGUACCAGCCCUGGUAAUUGCAGAGUUUGGGGGAAAAACACCCCCACUCUGCUCCCCAGUUCAAUACAUACACCUUUAAUUUGAUGUUUUUGAAUUCAGCUCCAAGACUGUCGUCAGCCAUUUUUUCUCUUUCCUUUAACACUGUCCACCUUGUUCCCUUUUAUACCAUGAACAGAGCCAAGCAGUGUGCAUUGAAAUCCAAUGUCCUUUGUGUUGCUUGAGAAAUCUGAGGCCGAUGUCUCCGGAGCCUUUUUGUUUCCCUCGCCUCCUUCUGCCCGUGACCUGCCAACUCCUUUUGGCUCUCCUGGGCUUUCGUCAUGUCCUAUAUCGAUUGCUGCCCCCUUUUCUUUAUUCGUGGGAUGCUAAGGCUGGACCCUGCAGCACAAUGAUGCUGGCUUUGGAUGAUGGUUAGGUCACCUCUGACCCUGGGCACACAGGUCCAGCGACACUUCACCAGACCAGGGUUGGUGUUGGAUCCGCUGCUCAUAAAGGAACCAACUGAUUUUGUUUUGUUUUUCCUCAAACUGCUCUUCUCAACUCCCAAGGUCUUUUCUGGGAUUUCAGACUGCUUCUUUAAAUGCUCUUUUUCUGCUUCUUUUCCAUCACAGUCCUUGUGAUCCUCAGGUACCCAGUUUACUAAUUACCCCCAACGCUGGCACCUGACAGCAGGUGGCCACAGUUCUGUUAAUUAUGUCCCCAGGCUUAGAAAUUAUCUUCUAAUGACAUCCUAUCAUCUACCUCUGACUCUUGGGCAGAAAGCAGGUUACAGACAUGAAUUUCAUCCCCUGAGUUCUUAAAAUCUAUUCUUCUGGCCUCGCACCUUAAGAUUCGUGUGCUCUGUAUGCCUUCCAGGGAUGUGACAAAAUUGCCAAGUGUUCAAAGCCUUCUACUGAAACUGGUGGAGUCACAGCCACUGCAGGCUCAAAUAAAGGCGAUUCGAGAGCAGCCAGCACAGCACUGACUUACCCAAAUAUGCCAACUUGGGAGGGAGGUAGCAUUAAGGCCCUUCUCUCGUCUCCCUCAGCCCCAGAGCUCCCAAGUGAAGUGAUCCUUAAUCUGAACAGAGAUUGCAGCUUUCCCACAGAGUCAAAUGAAGAGAGUAAAGGAGCCAUGGUUACUGUCUUCAUGUUGGGGUUGUUUGAAAUCUCCUCAAUCAAUUAAUCCCCCUUCUCCUCCUUCUGAUACAUUUGGGGGCUCUGGCGUUCACACGGGUCAGGGUACCAUGUGAAGGACGCCAUGAGAUUUGCAGGGAGACGGAGGGAGGAUAGCAGUGGUAAGGAUUCAUUGCUCUUCCUCAAUGUGUGUGAACACACUGCAUCGUUCUAAUGAGACCCCGGACACAUACAGCAGACUCUCCCUGCCGGCUUGGCUGUGUUCUCCGCUCUGCAGACAACAAAAGAUGACAGGUUGUAAGUUCCAGCCUCAGAAGAGAGCAACUGGCUUCCGUUGGCAACCUUACUUGUCAACUGGCAGCUCCAAGAAACAAGGCUCCCUGGGUCAUCUGAGGACAGGCGGGGGCUGACAAGUUUGAAAGUAGAAGAAAAGAAAGGGUUGACUUCAAUUCUGCAGCACUACAAUGCCCCCGGGGGCCCCUUUCCCUCUAUACUUGCCUCCUUUCCGGAACUCAUCCCCGUUUCUCAUCCCAGCCCGAUACUAGAGUCAGACUUAUAAAAAGUUAUAACAAGAAGCUUUCCAUUUCCUGAAUAUGCUUCAUAGACAGGGCCCCAAACAGUCGCUGUGUCUCUGUCAUCUACCUGCUCAGUGAAUGUCUGUCUUUGCUCUGCAGACCUAGCCAGCCUGGCAUCAUCUGAUAUCAGUAAGGAAUAAAGUGUCGCCCAUUUGAUUUCUUUUC